CCGCAGGGGGAUGGCCUUAGUACGGCGAGUGAAGCGGCAAAAGCUCAAAUUUGAAAUCUGGCACCUUCGGUGUCCGAGUUGUAAUUUGAAGAAGGUAACUUUGGAGUUGGCUCUUGUCUAUGUUCCUUGGAACAGGACGUCACAGAGGGUGAGAAUCCCGUGCGAUGAGAUGCCCAAUUCUAUGUAAAGUGCUUUCGAAGAGUCGAGUUGUUUGGGAAUGCAGCUCUAAGUGGGUGGUAAAUUCCAUCUAAAGCUAAAUAUUGGCGAGAGACCGAUAGCGAACAAGUACAGUGAUGGAAAGAUGAAAAGAACUUUGAAAAGAGAGUGAAAAAGUACGUGAAAUUGUUGAAAGGGAAGGGCUUGAGAUCAGACUUGGUAUUUUGCGAUCCUUUCCUUCUUGGUUGGGUUCCUCGCAGCUUACUGGGCCAGCAUCGGUUUGGAUGGUAGGAUAAUGACUAAGGAAUGUGGCUCUACUUCGGUGGAGUGUUAUAGCCUUGGUUGAUACUGCCUGUCUAGACCGAGGACUGCGUCUUUUGACUAGGAUGUUGGCAUAAUGAUCUUAAGCCACCCGUCUAAAAAAAGGGGAAAAAAAACCCAAAAUUAAAUAAAAAUU
rnacentral:rRNA from 1 species